CUCCAGAUUCAAAAGUAUAAGAGUUGAUCUCUUCUUGCGGAGGCCUUAACCAAGAAAUGGCUUCUAUUAACGUCCCUUCUUGCUCUUCAACAACUGCCAGAACAGCUCUCCCUUGUACCCAGGCAUGGAGAAACUUCAAAUUGUUCAAUGGAUUACAUGUAGUGAAUUCAUUUUCCACAAAUGGGUGCACAUUGAACGCCAAUUUCAUCUGCAUUAAUGGUACUAAAUCUCCCUUCAGUAUUAAGGGUGUUGGCAAAAUUCAAGCAGCAGUAGUAUCUGAUGAAGGUGACCUGUUGUCCUAUUCCAAUGGCAAUAAUGCUGCAGCAAAGAGGACUUUAAUUGAUAACAAACCAGUUGAAAUUAAAUUACAGCCUGAUGCAAUAGCAUUUGGAACCCUUGUAGCAGAUACUGCUACCAUCCUCAGUGGCUUCCCUAUCGAUAAUGAUGAGUUUGAUUUGGAUCGCCCCCCAGAGGAAGGUAGCAGGAUCUGCUAUAAAGGGUCCCAAAGCAAGGAAAGAUGGUAGUGGUUGUAGACGACGAAGACAGAGAAAAUGAAGGGGAUCUUAUCAUGGCAGCACAGUUGGCAACACCUGAAGCUAUGGCUUUUAUUGUGAAGCAUGGUACUGGAAUAGUUUGUGUGAGCAUGGCCGGGGAAUAUCUUGACAGGUUGCAACUCCCUUUAAUGGUUGCCCAAAAUGAAAAUGAUGAAAAACUUUGCACUGCAUUCACAGUGACAGUGGACGCCAAACAUGGUACAACCACAGGGGUUUCAGCUCAUGACAGGGCAACAACCGUGUUAGCUUUGGCAAACAGAGAUUCAAAGCCUGAGGACUUCAACCGACCAGGCCAUAUUUUUCCAUUGAGGUACAGGGAGGGUGGCGUUUUGAAAAGAGCUGGACAUACAGAAGC
rnacentral:misc_RNA from 1 species